UCGGGAAUAUUGCGCAAUGGAGGAAACUCUGACGCAGUGACGCCGCGUAUAGGAAGAAGGUUUUCGGAUUGUAAACUAUUGUCGUUAGGGAAGAAAAAAGACAGUACCUAAGGAGGAAGCUCCGGCUAACUACGUGCCAGCAGCCGCGGUAAUACGUAGGGAGCAAGCGUUAUCCGGAUUUAUUGGGUGUAAAGGGUGCGUAGACGGGCGAUCAAGUUAGUUGUGAAAUCCCUCGGCUCAACUGAGGAACUGCAACUAAAACUGGUUGUCUUGAGUGCAGGAGAGGUAAGUGGAAUUCUUAGUGUAGCGGUGAAAUGCGUAGAUAUUAGGAGGAACACCAGUGGCGAAGGCGACUUACUGGACUGUAACUGACGUUGAGGCACGAAAGUGUGGGGAGCAAACAGGAUUAGAUACC
rnacentral:rRNA from 1 species